UACGUAGGUGGCAAGCGUUGUCCGGAAUUAUUGGGCGUAAAGGGCGCGUAGGCGGCCACGCACGUCCGUUGUGAAAUCGCUCGGCUCAACUGGGCGGGGUCAGCGGAUACGGAGUGGCUGGAGCAAGCUAGGGGGCAAUGGAAUUCCCGGUGUAGUGGUGGAAUGCGUAGAUAUCGGGAGGAACACCAGUGGCGAAGGCGGUUGCCUGGAGCUUUGCUGACGCUGAUGCGCGAAAGCGUGGGGAGCGAUCCGG
rnacentral:rRNA from 1 species